GUGGUUUUUUUUAAUAAUUUAAUUUUUGAUAUUAUUAUAUAAAACAAUACAUAAAUUUCUACUUUCAAAGUUCUCCAUUUUUGCUAGGAAAUUGAUGACAAGAAGCUUCUUAUGCUCUUUAAUACAUUUAUAAGUAACUUUUUCAACUUUACAAGAUAGAAAUAUUCAUUAAUUCAUGGAUAAUGGUAAUGCUCUAAACAAAGGUAUGGAGACAGUUGAUCUUAUGCAUAAUAAACUGCUGUUGACAGUUUACCUAUCGAAUCCUAAGUCAUCGACAUGUUUUUGUUACAUAAUUUGCGUUGAUACCAUUAAUAAUUUAGUUCUUCUUCAUUGCAAAAUUGUUAUUGCCAAGAAUCGGAUUCAUUAUCAUGAAGUGCAUCAUAAAUAAUUUCCAUUGUGUUAUAGUUGAGACAAACAAAAUUAUAAAAAUGUUAUUUAAAUUUUUAUUAAUGUCACAUAUUUACUCGAGUUUCAUAUAAACAUAAAUGAAAUUGUUUACUGUAAUAGUUAAAAAUAGAUCUUAUGUUAAUUUAUAGUUUGUAAUCUUCCUUUAUGCAUGUUAAAAUAAAUAAAAAAGGUUAUCA
rnacentral:lncRNA from 1 species